rnacentral:rRNA from 1 species
AUGUUACUAUCUUCUCCUCAUCGCGAAAGACAAAGAGGAUCACCAAUCAACAACAGAUUCUCCAUCACUACAAAAUACUACAUCCUUCCUAAAAUAUAUGACGUUUUUUCAGUUCAAUUUGAACUGAAAAAACAUCUUAUAUUUUGGAUUUUUGGAUUGAGGAAGUAUAAGAUGUCAAUAUGUUUUUUUAUGCAUAAUUAUCUCCUGAUACUAUCUGAGGUGUGUACAUAUGCUAUACUAAGUGCUUGCAUACAAUAUGUCUUUUGUUAUGAUAUUGUUCUUAAUUUUCCUCUCAACUCAAGGACAAAUGUGAUUAGCAUAACUAACAUAUUAGGGUUCUCUAAAACUAUAUUCGUAUUUUAUUCUUUGCUUCAUUAA